GUGGGGAAUCUUGCGCAAUGGGCGAAAGCCUGACGCAGCAACGCCGCGUGGGGGAUGAAGGCUCUCGGGUUGUAAACCCCUUUCAGCAGGGACGAAUCAAGACGGUACCUGCAGAAGAAGCCCCGGCUAACUACGUGCCAGCAGCCGCGGUAACACGUAGGGGGCAAGCGUUGUCCGGAUUUAUUGGGCGUAAAGAGCUCGUAGGUGGCUGAGUAAGUCGGAGGUCAAAUCCCCAGGCUCAACCUGGGAUCCCAUCCGAUACUGCUCUGGCUAGAGUCCGGUAGGGGAGCGUGGAAUUCCUGGUGUAGCGGUGAAAUGCGCAGAUAUCAGGAGGAACACCAGCGGCGAAGGCGGCGCUCUGGGCCGGUACUGACACUGAGGAGCGAAAGCGUGGGUAGCAAACAGGAUUAGAUACCCCUGUAGUCC
rnacentral:rRNA from 1 species